CGUUUUUGAGGUUUUCAUCUGCCUGUUACAAUUUGGGUUUAAUUUGUAUUUUCUUAAUCUAAUCAAGGCAAUAAUUAAAUUAUGAUUCCAACCUUUACUGAUGUUCGAGAAUCUGACGAGAGCUUCGUGAUUAUUUCAAUUCACUUGGUGCUAAUCAUACUGAGAAAGAUGAGGAUGGUUUUCUCAAGGAUUUGACUAAAAUUAUUGAAGUUUGUGAUCUAUGUUUCAAAGAGGAUAAAGAUGCGGAUAAACAGUCUGUUUUAAAUAGUAUUGUUUCCUUGCUUAUCCAAGUACCGCAAACCAAUCCAAUAUGCAGUGAAUUGGUGAAUGCUUUCUAUGCAAAAUUGGUGGAAGUCUCAACUUCUAAUAUUGCCUUGAUUUGCAUUAAAAUAUGAGUGUGAUUAAACUUAGGCUAUUUAGAUUGAUGCAUUAUGUUGAUAAUCAUUUCAUCAAACAUCUAAUUUACAUUUAUUUUUAUUUGAACAGAUUACAAAAUCUUUUUGAAGGCACAGGCGAAAACCCUAAAUUAAACUAUGAUAUUUAUAUGAUAUUAGUCUAGUUAAAAUUUCUGGCAGUAUUGGUCAAAUUGACUUGGUUUAUCAUGAUCUGCUUAAGGUUUGAUCAACAUAUAACAAGGAUAAUGUCGGAUUAGACAAACUUCAAAAAUUGUUGAGACUUUUGCAUGAAGUCCUACUCAAUGAUGACAGUCAUGAAGCUUCCAAAGUGAUGAUCGAAUUGUUAGGAACUUACACUGAGGCCACUGCAUCUCAAGCACGCACCGAUGCUCACCGUUGCAUCGUUUCAUUCAUAUUGAACUCAAACACUUUUCUAAUGGAUCAUCUUUUGACCCUCAAGCCAGUCAAAUUCCUUGAGGGCGAAGCAAUUCACGAUCUUCUCACUAUUUUUGUAUCUGAUAAACUCAAUGGAUACAUACAAUUCUAUGCCGCACACAAGACUUUGAUUGAAAAUUCAGGAUUGUCAUAUGAACAGAAUCUCCAUAAAAUGGUACUGUUGAAUUUCAUGCAGGUGGCUGAAAGCAAUAAAGAACUCUCUUUCCAGACCGUCAAAGAGGAAUUACAAUUGGGAGAUGAAGAUGCAGAGACAUUUGUCAUUGACAUUUUGCGAACCAAUUUGGUGAACGCAAAAACGCAUCAAGUAAACAAAAAAUGCCCGGUCACCUCUACAAUACAUCAAACAUUUGGCUUACAACAGUGGCAACAAUUAAGAGACACUCUAACCCAAUGGCAAGCAAAUCUUAUUCAUGUCCAAAAUACCAUAGCUUCCGCAAUUUGUGCGCAAUAUGAAACAAUGACUCCAAUCAACUCUAAUCCGAUACCAUCUUAGGCAAACUAAUUAUCAUUAAAGAUUCCAUCAAGGUUUAAUAUCAUUUUCAUUGUUUUCCUUCAUUUCAACUCUACAAGUUUUUAUAGUAGCCAAUUUGAAGUUAUAUCCUUUAGAAUGCGGGUCUAUAGUGAUUUGUCUUGGGUCAAUUAAGCAGUUAAUUUAAUAUUGUUUAUGGCAUCUCUAUCAAAUACAAUCGGUAACCUCUAUUUUAAAUUAUUCAUGCCAAGGAAGACUGGACAUCAAAUCGGAUCAUUGUAUCAUUGACUCUUCUGUUGUCAUCACGUUUGGGACUUUUCGGUCUGACCGAAACUGAUGCUGAUAUAAACUCGUGUACCCAGCUUAAAAUUAUCCGGGAAAAAUGUUUAUCAGUCAUCGACAAAUACGGCAUUUCAGCUAUUUUGAGGCCUCCUCUUUACAAAUGUGGAUCGUGGCUCGAGAUUUGUUGAGAAUCAACGAAUGGAAACUUUUCACGGCCUUAUUACAAUGCGCCAAUAAUAUUUAUGAAUUAACAAAUACAUGUUGUGUAUGCAUGCAUUUAGAUCCCUUUUAGGACCAGUUUUUGAUCGAAUCAGAUUUCCACUGAUGAAAAUACCUGAACUGGUAACAGUUAAUAGAAGUGAUUUGGCUCUAAACAAGAGUGAAUAUGAAUUAAUUUUAAGUUACCUAUUAGAUAAUCCAAAACCUCCAAUUCACUUUCCAAUUACACCAAGAUCACCAUCAGGCAUGGUUGCGGAAAGAUCCAAAUCUUCGAAAAUGGUUAUGUUUACUUCUUAUCCUCAAGAGGUCCACUAAAUAGACUUAAUUGUCGAUCAACAGGUUCGAUGCAUUGGCAAAGGAAUAUUUACCGCCAAUUUUCAUCAUUUGUCUAUUGGUAAAACAUUAAUCAAUCUGCAAUUAUGGUAUUUUGCUGGAAGGGAAAGAAAUUUUUAGUUACCCAGCGAUAAAUCCAUGGAUCUUUGUCCCAUCAAUCAAUUUAUCAAAUAAUUUUAUCUUCAUGCAUACAUCUUUUAUUGAAAAUACGUUAUCCUCUAAUUAUUAUUCUUAAACAUAACAACUGGCGAAAUAAUACAAUU